UACGUAGGGUGCAAGCGUUGUCCGGAAUUAUUGGGCGUAAAGAGCUCGUAGGCGGUCUGUCGCGUCUGCUGUGAAAACUCGGGGCUUAACCCCGGGCCUGCAGUGGGUACGGGCAGACUAGAGUGCGGAAGGGGCAACUGGAAUUCUCGGUGUAGCGGUGAAAUGCGUAGAUAUCGAGAGGAACACCUGCGGCGAAGGCGGGUUGCUGGGCCGACACUGACGCUGAUGCGCGAAAGCCAGGGGAGCGAACGGG
rnacentral:rRNA from 1 species